rnacentral:rRNA from 1 species
CAUCCCGACUUACCAACCCGAUGCAAACUACGAAUACCGAAGAAUGUUAUCACGGGAGACACACGGCGGGGGCUAACGUCCGUCGUGAAGAGGGAAACAACCCAGACCGCCAGCUAAGGUCCCAAAGUCAUGGUUAAGUGGGAAACGAUGUGGGAAGGCACAGACAGCCAGGAUGUUGGCUUAGAAGCAGCCAUCAUUUAAAGAAAGCGUAAUAGCUCACUGGUCGAGUCGGCCUGCGCGGAAGAUGUAACGGGGCUAAACCAUGCACCGAAGCUGCGGCAGCGACACUAUGUGUUGUUGGGUAGGGGAGCGUUCUGUAAGCCUGCGAAGGUGUGCUGUGAGGCAUGCUGGAGGUAUCAGAAGUGCGAAUGCUGACAUAAGUAACGAUAAAGCG